rnacentral:rRNA from 1 species
UGCCAGCAGCCGCGGUAAUACGGAGGGGGUUAGCGUUGUUCGGAAUUACUGGGCGUAAAGCGCACGUAGGCGGAUUGGAAAGUUGGGGGUGAAAUCCCGGGGCUCAACCCCGGAACUGCCUCCAAAACUAUCAGUCUAGAGUUCGAGAGAGGUGAGUGGAACUCCGAGUGUAGAGGUGAAAUUCGUAGAUAUUCGGAAGAACACCAGUGGCGAAGGCGGCUCACUGGCUCGAUACUGACGCUGAGGUGCGAAAGCUAGGGUAGCAAACGGGAUUAGAUA